rnacentral:lncRNA from 10 species
UUGGUUUAGGUACAAGCAUGUGAUGUGAUCCUGGCCAAUAUGAUGUAAGGAGAUAACAACUAGAAGAGUUCUCAAUCCUUAAGAAGCUUAAUCUCUUUUGCUGGCCACUAUCCAGCCUGUAAGGGAUGCCUGGAACUGUCGGACCCAGCCUGCAGCUGUAAGGACCUGGUCAAGGUCAAGGUUGACAUGCUGAGGAUGGCACAGCAGAGUGGAGCCAGGUCCUUGAGGACCUGGUUGAGCUGUUGAGUUAACCAACCCUGAAGCCACCAUCUCCAGGGCAUUUUUUUUUUUUUAAUAUGAGAGAGUAAAUUUUUCACCUAUUUUAAGCCAGUGGUUUUCAAAGUCUGGUCUCUGGACCAGAAACGCCAAUCAGCAUCCCCUGGGAACUUGUUAGAAAUGCAAAUUCUUGAGUCUUACCCAGAACUACUUAAUUAAAAUCUCUGGGAGGGGGGCUCAGCUGUUUGCCUUUUAACAAGCCCUUCAGGUACAUGCUAAAGUUUGAGAGCCACCAUUUAAGCCAUUGGAGUCAAGAUUGGAGGAGGAUUUGAUUCUGUUUACUUGCUGCUGAAAUAUUCUAAGUGGAAUAGUCUUAACAGAAAGGGUCUGGAAAGAAUCUAGAAUCAUUCCAAUUCUACCCCUUCAUUUCGUACCCGUGACUGAGUUUAGGGAGGAACUGUAUGCGAUGUUUGCUAUGAUGCUGCUCCUGAGGGCUGGGCCCUUUCUCUCUUGAAGUUCUUAUUCUCAUUUUUAUCAUUAUCAUCAAUAAAUCUUUACUUUCUGCAUAGAGUGCAUAGGGUGAGUCCCACAGAUGCUUUACCUGAUGCCUUUGACCUCAAGAUGCCUGUACCAGUUAGGAAACAAACUGGGUGAUUAGAAGUGAGCUUAAUGAAAGUAAUAAAAAGAUUGUUCACGGGACAGGUGUGAUGGCUCACACCUGUAAUCUCAGUACUUUGGGAGGCCGAGGCGGGUGGAUCAUGAGGUCAGAAGAUCGAGACCAGCCUGGCCAACAUGGUGAAACCCCGUCUCUACUAAAAACACACAAAAAAUUAGUUGAGCCUGGUGGCCAUCCCUGGAACCUGCGAACGUGACCUUAUUCGGAAAAGGGGUCUUUGCAGAUAUCAUUAAGUUAAGGAUCUUGAGAUCAGGAGAUUACUCUGGUUUAUCCAAGUGGGCCUUAAAUCUAAUGACAAAUGUCUUCGUAAAUGAAAGAGAGGGAUUUUAGACAGAAGAGAAGACAGAAGAGGAGGAGGCAAUGUGACCACAGAGAUAGAGAUUGGUGUGAUGAGGCCACAAGACAAGGAAUGCUGACAGCCACCAGAAGCUGGGAGAGGCAGAGAACUGAUCCUGUUGAUCCCAGAGCCUCCAGAGGGAGCGUGACCCUGCCAAUACCUUGAUUCCAGACUUCUGUCCUCCUGGAACUAUGAGAGAACAUAUUACUGUUGUUUUUAACCCACCAAGUUUGCAGGAAUUUAUUAUAGCAGCCACAGGAAACUAAUGUAUAGGUCCAUAGAGAGGACGAUAUGCCAGGAGCUGUAAGGAGCCCAGACAACCUGGAACAAUGCUGCAAGGAGAGAAUGAGGGAAUCAAUUCCCAGCUUCCCCUUUCUUCAUUCUCUCUGACUUCCAGAUAGUGCCUCCCACUGGCCAAAUCCAAAUGAAAACUGUAGGGCAAGGGACUCCCCUUGAUAGGGCCCCUAGGGGUUGGCCUCCUGAGGCUCAGUAGGAUGGAGAAGGUUGGACUUGGAGGGACAGGUGGAACUGUCUGGCAUGCCCCCCAUUGCCCGAAAAGCACAACUGAACUGUUAGCAUUGAACAGCCAUGGAAGGAUGAGGUGCAAACAUUUCCAUGAGAUAUAUGUGGCAGGAAUUAGUGCUUUGUGUAGUCAAGAGGAAAAUAAAUUGUCUGAAAAAGCUGGUGGAAGAAGUAGAAAGUUAAGUAAUGUUUGAGUAGCGGGAGAAAGAUGGUUGGAUGAUCCAGGGAUGAGAAAGUGAUUCCUUAUAUAUGUAUAUAUUUGUGCUUGGAAGAUAGCUAGAGAUGAUGGUGGGAUAAGAGUAUUAGAUAUGUGUGAACAGCAUGUGCUUAUGAUGUUGGGGAAAUCAGGUGGGAAGAGGGAGGAACUGGGGAACACUAACCUCAAGUAGAACUAUGACAUUUUUUUCAAAUUUCUGGCAUUGUGGCAAUCAACAAUAGGGUCACUGCUGCCCCAUGUAGAGCCCUAACUAUCCCUUCUACUGACAGGCGAGGACAGCCCCAUAAGAUCUAGCCUCAAAGUCUAGGAGUACUGCUUCCCAGAAAGGUAGUGAGUGAGUGUUGAAGUCAGUCCUAUGUCCUUUGAAUAAGAAGACACAGGGCUCAGAGGAUAGAAGUUGGGCUGGAUGAAUUACAGGGACCUGUGGUCAUCAUUCUAGAAGCAAUUUGCUAGGCAGGGUCUGGAGGUGUUGGACUCAAACCCAUCACAGCCACUGUCCUAUGAGAUCCUAGGAAAAGUGUUUUGUUUUUCCUGUGUCUCUCUCAGGAAAGUGGCCACAAUGAGAUACUUUCUAUCUAUCUUGAAGAGACUUUGAUAAAAACAAAUAAUGGUAAAUAAGCCAGGGGAAAUAAAUAACAAUCACUAAUUUAUUAAAUUUUCAAAAAUCAUCUAAUUACAAAGCAGGGAAGAGAAAAGAAAAGGCUAGGGAGGUGGAAGAUACAGAAACAAUGUCAGUGGGCUAAGAAGAGACAAAAGCAUUCACAUUUAUCAGAAGAGAUAACCUUGCCCCCUCUUGCACUUGUGCUCAGGAAAUUUUGCUUCUCUUUGCCAGAUAAUCCAAGACGGAGGAGAAGCAUCUCCAUGGCACCUCACUCUGAUUUGCGAGGAUUUGGCCAGAGAAACUGUUCUCAAGAGUGUGAAUUAGGUGGCAGCUACUAUUUUAUGGUACCUCGCUAUCCACUUUGUAAGAAAACAAAAAGAACACAUGAUGAGGCUCUGGGUCAGCCAGGAUUCUAGAUUCUGCUGCCAGACACAUCUUACAAGGAGUCUCCGAGAGCAGAGGGAGCACAUCCCCUGACACCUCGCACAUGACAGUUGCUUCAUCAGUGCUGGUUGUGCUCCUGAGAACUCAGCAUGGAGAGAGGCCUAGUCCCCGCUCCCCUGCUCCCAAUUGCUCUGUGACUCAUUCUCACGGCUCGCCCUUCAGGUUCUCGUUCUUGAAUUUCUCCUGCUCCCUCCCACUCCCAGUCCUUUGCCAUGUCUCCCCUGUGCCUGGAACACUUUUUGAUGCAGGUCACCUCCAGGACUCUGCCACUUUCAAGUUGAGUGUUCCAGGUAGGUCACUGAACCCCUCUGAGUUUCAGUGUCUUUAUCUGUAAAGAUAAAAACUAGACAUAACCUUUGGCUGACUGGGAGAGUUGGGAUUGGAUAAGGCAAGUACUGAGUCCAAGGCCUGGCUCUGAGUCCCUGCCCCAGGGACAGCAGCUCCUGUGAUUUUGGUUCAUCAUGGUAGGUCCCUCCUUCUCUCUCUCUUCUUGGGAACUGCCACCAUCCUUUCUGUUCUUUAACCUGCUUCUCCGCCAAUAAAGGCAGAGUGGAACACUCUCUUCCUGGCUCCUAUUUCCUCGCUGCCUCCAAAGACAAGCCUGUCACCUCCCCACCCCGCCUGCCCACAUCUUUGUUUUACUAAAUGAAGGAAUAAUUAUAAAAAUUUUAGAACUUCAUCAGGUCCUACAAGCAUACACCUGAAUGAUAACUUCCCUGUUGGGAUAAUAGCUAGAAACUCUGUUGGGUGUUUGCCUCUUGCUCGAAUUCCUUAUUUUAUUUUAUUUUGAGCAAAAACACACAUUUAUUUACUAACCAAAGGCUGAUCCUAAUCUAAGCCAACACUUUAAAAUAGCUGCAUGUAAAAUAUUUGUGAUGAAGAUAAUUAAACACAGUAAUGAAAAAAAUAAAAACAAAAACAAGCAGGAUGGAGAUAUGUUCAUUGAACUGAAAUUGUUCCUUCUCUCAGCUAAUUGCUCUCCAAAGCAGUAAGGAAAUUUUUAUUCUGCUUUUUUUAUUUUCACAGAUCUGAG